GUGAGUGAAUGAGAGUGGAGGCAGGGCUCGUGUGUGUCAUGCGGUUCCUGAGCCUCCCUCCCCAUCAGCCUGGGGUGGGAGGUGAGGCUUCGUUACCUUGUGGGCACCAGGCAAAAGGCUGCAGAAGCCUGAGGGUAGAGGCAGAUAAGGGACAUCCUCUGAGUCCUCAGGGCCACAGGGACAGGACCUGCCACCCGGCAGUGUCCACGAGACAGGAGUGAGUGGGCUCCUCUUCCAGCCCGGGAGUUAACGGGACCUGUGGAACCCUUCCUGUCUUUGCAAAUGCCAGGUGUUGCUUCCUGAUGGUCCCUCCUCGCUUAGGGAAGCAACUCCGCCCCAGAUCCCCAGGUCUUCUGUGGUUGCCCAGAGCCCCAGGGAGCGAUGGUGGCCAUCCCUGAGUGGGGAGGCAGGUGGACCCGAGCACCGACCAGCUCCUGAGAGCAGUUGCAGUUGCAAGUCCAUAAGGGCCGCCCUCAGGCUGUGCCGGGACCUUGCUCUAGGGGCCUCGUUGGUUCUCAUGCAGUCCUGGAGUUGGAGACUAAAGACAGCUCCAUAUUACUGAAGAUACAGCAGAGACACACAGCAGGUGAGAAGCGUGUCCUGGGUGGGUUUCCUGAGGAUCUGCCAUCAUGAGUGGAAAGCCCUGGCAGGGUACGGGACCCUAACAGGAGAGAGCCAUUGUCAUGGCCCCUACACAGCUGACCUAGAGCUGGACAGGAGCUGGAUGGGGCCUGCUGGAAUAGGCUGAGCAGCAAAACAGAACAGAACAAGCAACCCAUACUUGGGAGAGCCUUCGUGACUCCACAAACCCCUCUUUUUCCCACAGCCUCUGUCUGCCUAGAGGUGCUGGGCCACGCACAACUCUGACCAUGUCCAGCCCUGUGAACAAAGGACCCAUGGCCAUCUGAUUCCUGGCCAGCCCAGCCUGGCACACAGGGUGGGGCUUCUCUGAUGCCCCAUGUGCCGCUCCAUUCUGCUGGAAGCUUACUGUGCUGACACACACUCAUCUGUGAAGUGCUGGAGUUUUGGAGAAGUCCCUCUGACUGAGCUGUGAUCAUUUAGCAUUUGGGAAAAAUGACCAAAGCAAUCAUGGGUGGGUGUGUUUCAUCUGCCCAAGACAGAAACCCCAUUCUAAACCUGGCCGGGUUGAAGCAGGGUUUUCACCUGCUUACAGACUCCGCCCCAGCCUCCAAGAUGGGUGGGGACAUCAUUGCAUCUCUGCCCGUUGCCCAAAGGUGACUGGGCCAGGAAUGGACAGGGAACACUGCUGGACCUAUCAGAGGCUUCCCCAGGAUUUUUAACCUGGGACCAGAGCUGCCAGGGCCAAGCCCUGAGGAGGGAGACUGUCCAAGAAAAGUCAGCCAUUCGGGAGGAGAGAGGAGAGUCCUAGUGGGGUUGGAGAGCCUAGUUGUUGUUGUCCUGGAAAAAAGAAAGAAUCCUGAUAAAAGCAGUUUUAGUGAAGUAAAAAUGACAAUAGGAGAGAGGGACUUUGUUCCAACGCUGCUUCAUGAAAAAAUGAUCAUGAAAUGAAAUGACCAUGACGGAAUUAGCUCUAGAAGAUAUUUUCUUCUCCAAAAUAGCCAAUAUUGAAACAAUUUGGGCUAAUGCUUUUAUAUUCAUAAACAUAGAGUCAAAAGCCCUCAGGGUUGAGAUGGUGGAUUCAAGAUGUCCUAAGUUCAGUAACUGAACACUGUCUCCCUGCUGGACCUCCCUCACUCCUUCCCACCCUACUGUGCCUCUGGAACCUUUAGCCUGUAGGAUUUCUUACAAACUCUUAAUAUGCAAAUAGCACUUAUUCUUAACUUAAAAAUCCCUUAAGUAAGACUACUUGGCAACCCAUAGUCAGCUUCCUUCAAGUCACUUUAUGUUCUUGAAAGUAAUCAAAAGUAAUCCAUUGCAACUGCUUUAAAAUAUUUUAGAAUUCCAAUUUCCCCCGUCUCUUCCUUCCCUCGGGUUGGCCAGCUUCCCAGGAUUCUGUCCUAUAAAAUUAAGUUAAUGAUAUCUUCAGGAUCAGCAUGUCUUUGUCUCUAAAUGUGGGAGUGUGUCUCCUCCAGGACUUGCCUUGGCCAGGCCUUCCCCUCCCACUCUGAGCCCCCUUCCCUCCCCGGGCAUGCAGCGCAAAGCCAAGGAGCUGGCUCAAGAGUAAAGAGUGGGCACCUCAUCCUUGCUCUCUGGGGCUUGCUGCAUGGACCUCUCUGCGCAUUCUGGGUCAGGGGUGGCAUGCAUCCAGCAUGCCUUCGUUGUCUGAGGCAGCUCCAGGCAAGGAGAGAUGUAGGAUAACUCAGCCAAGAGGUGGCCUUUCUUCUAGGCAGCAUCAAUCAGCCCCAUUGCCCUCUUGGCAGGUGCUCCAUAAAUGGUGCUUCCGCAGUUCCCUCCCUCUUCCCAGGUGUGGAAUGGCCCCAGGAAGUCAGGCCAGGGAACCACAGGCACAGCCUCCAGGUGACAGCUACAGGCUGGAGGGCCUGCUUUCUGUCUCUGGCCUCUUUUCAACAGCUUAUGAGAUUUUCAAAUGUCUCCAACUGACCCUCCCCACAAAUGACAUUUAUGAAGGACACACAGGGCUGGGUGCGGUGGCUCACGCCUGUAUUCCCAGCACUUUAGGAGGCUGAGGUGUGCGUAUCACGUGAGGUCUGGAGUUAGAGACCAGCCUGGACAGCAUAGCGAAACCCUGUCUCUACUAAAAAUACAAAAAUUAGCCAGGCAUGGUGGUGCAUGCCUGUGGUCCUAGCUACUUGGGAGGCUGAGGCAGGAGAAUCGCUUGAACUGUGGAGGCGGAUGUUGCAGUGAGCCGAGAUCACGCCACUGCACUCCAGCCUGGGCAAAACAGUGAGACUCUGUCUCAAAAAGAAAAAAAAGACACACAAUAGGCUGAUGACUUGCCUUAUUGUCCUGGACUCAGACAGGCACAGAGACGGAGAGGAAGGGAGGGAGGGAGGAAGAUCUGAGACUUGGAGAUGGGCCCCAGUCCAGUAGGCUGCUUGAGUGAGACCUGGGAACCAGGAAGCAUCCCUGGGCCGUGCUUAGCCAGAGAGCCAGACAGCUGGGCUGCAGAGCUGGCAGGGUUGGCAGGGUGAGUACAGUGGAAACCUUCCUAGACCUUGUCAGCCACAGGACAGUGUGUGCUCGCUCCCUCCCAACCUGCCCCAUUAGACAUCUGUGUGGUGGGGCCGCCUCAUUCCUGAUCAUGAGAGAAUGCUGUUAAAUUUGCAGAAAUCUUGUGAUCUGCUUGUUAAAUGCAGCUUUUAUUAAAAAAAAAAGAAUAGUAAGCUUACAAUGAGAUAAGGUAUAUUAAAAACAAUUGUAUUAAGAGCAAAGGUAUAACUCAAAACUCAUCAAACCCAUCGCUUUCUACUUAUUUUACUCAAUUUUACUAUUGAGUUUAUGUUUAUUUACAAUCUAUCUGGUGUUUAUAUGGUGGAAACACCAUAUAAUAUGUACCAUAUAAUACUGCAUACCUCUCCCCAACCUCCAAUGAUGUCAGGUUGGUGAGAUUGUUUAUACCACAGAAACUCGCAAAUACGAUAAACCAGGGGCUUCAACCCCCAACCCGCCCCCAACUCCCACACUGCUGACUCCCUGGUCCCCGAGUGCUUAAAUUUGCUAAUGUAUGUUACAUAAACAAGAUAAAGCACAGGCAAUACUUAGGGCAAUCAUGCUCCCCAAACUUUCCAGGACAGUUUCAAUUUAAAUAUUCUGCCUGCGGUCAAACUGCGGGACCCAAUCAGGUUUCAGAGCCAAUGUCAGCCGCAGGGAGGCCACCUGGAAGUGAGUGCCUGACACACAGACUUUCACCCGUCUCUUCGCCCCAGCCUCACAGCACCAGACCCUCAUUUCAUUAAUCUCCCAAAUUUAGGUCACAGAUAUCUCAAAUUACCUCCUUAUUUACAGACAUCAAGAUCUAAUGCUAAAACCUGGAGAGGGACAGAACCAGUCUGUUCCAGGGCCAGACUUGAAAAUAAAUAAUAAUAAAAUCCCCAAGCCUUAAGAUGUCCAUUGCCUGAAAUACGCAGUUUACAGCUUGAAAUUCAACUGACUCACAAACCACACAGCUGGUGACCCUCCCCACCUUCCCUCUCAAGCUAAUUGAAUUAAAAAAAAAAAAGUACUUAAAGAGGCCUGGUCUGUCCAAGAAGUAAACUCCAUGUACUUCCUCUCCCCUGGGCUGGAGGCACACUUGGCCACACAAGGCAUAUAAAAGCCCCUUUUGGAGAAUUGCUUGCUUCCCACAUGGCUUCUGCAGUCAGUGUAAUUUAAGAAACACACAACUCACGCACCCAGCUUUGGAAGUCACAGUGGGUAUACACCUGAGAGGGAAGCCGGGGGAUGGAGGGGUGUUUUUUGUCUGUGUUUAAGCCCCUGUGCUGGCUUCUUGAGAUUCCCAAUACUUUCCACACACACAAAAGGUUGAUCUAUGCACUCAGGGCAAAAGGCAAGUCAUGCAUUCCAAAGGAAAGCGCACAACAUAAAAUGCUAUCGGGAACGGACGGGAGGGUUUGGAAGGAGUCACGUCAGAAUGGUAACCGUGUUCAUCUGACACUGGUAGGGUUUUCUUCUGUAUAGUUCCCUGAAUUUUCCAGAUGGUGUAUGGUGAAGAGAUCUGGCA
rnacentral:lncRNA from 1 species